rnacentral:rRNA from 1 species
UGGGGAAUAUUGGACAAUGGGCGGAAGCCUGAUCCAGCAACGCCGCGUGAGGGAUGACGGCCUUCGGGUUGUAAACCUCUUUCGGUAGGGACGAAGCGCAAGUGACGGUACCUACUAAAGAAGCACCGGCCAACUACGUGC